rnacentral:tRNA from 242 species
GGAGACGUGGCCGAGUGGUCGAAGGCGCUCCCCUGCUAAGGGAGUAGGCGGGAAACCGUCUCGAGGGUUCGAAUCCCUUCGUCUCCGCCA